rnacentral:rRNA from 1 species
UACAGAGGGGGCGAGCGUUGUUCGGAAUUACUGGGCGUAAAGGGCGCGUAGGCGGCCCGCUAAGUCGAACGUGAAAUCCCCAGGCUCAACCUGGGAACUGCGUCCGAUACUGGCAGGCUUGAAUCCGGGAGAGGGAUGUGGAAUUCCAGGUGUAGCGGUGAAAUGCGCAGAUAUCAGGAGGAACACCAGCGGCGAAGGCGGCGCUCUGGGCUGGCACUGACACUGAGGAGCGAAAGCGUGGGGAGCAAACAGG